rnacentral:rRNA from 1 species
UCAGCACUAAGCCAUUUUACCUUAAUGGGUAAAUAUGGGAUGCAGUGUAUGGUACAUCAAUAAUCUAGUAUGAAAAAUUAACGAUUUAAGUCCUUCUUAAAUGAGGCCAUUUACCCAUAGAGGGUGCCAGGCCCGUAUAACGUUAAUGAUUAUUAGAAGAUGUUUCCAAAGAGUCGUGUUGCUUGAUAGUGCAGCACUAAGAGGGUGGUAAACUCCAUCUAAAACUAAAUAUAACCAUGAGACCGAUAGUAAACAAGUACCGUGAGGGAAAGUUGAAAAGAACUCUGAAUAGAGAGUUAAAUAGUACGUGAAACUGCUUAGAGGUUAAACCCGAUGAACCUGAAUAUCCAUUAUGAAAAAUUCAAUACUAAUUAAAUGGUGUGCAAUUUUUUCAUAUAAGGACAUUGUAAUCUGUUAAUGUAAUAAAUAUUUAUCAAAAGAUUCUUUACUUAAGUUUAUUUAAAUUCAACAUAAAAUAAAUGUAAAUGAAUUGGAUAAAUCAUUGACAGAUAUAGUUGUAUAAUGUGCUUAAAUUUAUUAAAAUUUAGCAAUGUUGCCUGCACUAUUAUGAUUAACAAUGCGAUAGAUUCAGGAUACCUUCGGGACCCGUCUUGAAACACGGACCAAGGAGUCUAACAUAUGUGCAAGUCAUUGGGUAUUUUUAAUAAAACCUAAUGGCAUAAUUAACUUAACUUAAGGGAUUAAUUUAUAUUUAUUCAAUCCCGGGGCGUUCUAUACAGUUAUGUAUAAUAAUAUUUAUAUUAUUUAUACCUCUAACUAGAGCGUACCUUGAGCAUAUAUGCUGUGACCCGAAAGAUGGUGAACUAUACUUGAUCAGGUUGAAGUCAGGGGAAACCCUGAUGGAAGACCGAAACAGUUCUGACGUGCAAAUCGAUUGUCAGAAUUGAGUAUAGGGGCGAAAGACUAAUCGAACCAU